rnacentral:lncRNA from 1 species
UUCUCAUCGUAGAGUCUGGAUAGCAACCCCACCACUAUUCCAUGUCAAAGACUAUAGUUUAAACAGUUGGCAUCUUUAACACUCGGACAGAGCUGAUGCAGAUCUGUGGAGCUCUGAAUUUCAGAAUGAGUGCGAUCAGGCAACUCAUGCUCCUGUCACCAUGACGGACUGUAUCCUUCAAACUGUGAACCCAAACCAACCAUACAAGAUGGCUACUUUCUCACCACAGACUCCAGUGGGCUUUCCUGCCUAUAUAUGCCCGGAGAGAGGGAGCCAGCUUCUGCCAGCAGCUGUAACAAAAUGGCUUGCAUCUGGUUAUUUAAAAAUGACAGAAUUUCAUUGCUCAGAAUUCUAGAAGCCUGUAAGUCUAUAGCCAAGGCGAUAGCUGACUCACUAUCUGGUCAGGGCUAACUCUACGUCAAAGAUGGCAUUGUCGAUGCAAAAACACAC